rnacentral:rRNA from 1 species
AACCUCCGCAAUGUGAGAAAUCGCGACGGGGGGAUCCCAAGUGCCAUUCUUAACGGGAUGGCUUUUCAUUAGUGUAAAGAGCUUUUGGAAUAAGGGCUGGGCAAGACCGGUGCCAGCCGCCGCGGUAACACCGGCAGCUCUAGUGGUAGCAGUUUUUAUUGGGCCUAAAGCGUCCGUAGCCGGUUUAAUAAGUCUCUGGUGAAAUCCUGUAGCUUAACUGUGGGAAUUGCUGGAGAUACUAUUAGACUUGAGACCGGGAGAGGUUAGAGGUACUCCCAGGGUAGAGGUGAAAUUCUGUAAUCCUGGGAGGACCGCCUGUUGCGAAGGCGUCUAACUGGAACGGUUCUGACGGUGAGGGACGAAAGUUAGGGGCGCGAACCGGAUUAGAUACCCGGGUAGUCCUAACUGUAAACGAUGCGGACUUGGUGUUAGGGUGGCUUUGAGCUGCUCCAGUGCCGAAGGGAAGCUGUUAAGUCCGCCGCCUGGGAAGUACGGUCGCAAGACUGAAACUUAAAGGAAUU